GGCGCGAGCCUUGCUAAAUCCCUGGCAUGGAGCGGUCAACGUCGAUCGCCCCCUUCACGACAAAGGCGCCGU
rnacentral:ncRNA from 1 species